GUUGCUUCUGUAAUGCUGAGUGCCAUGUUUUGUGUUUGGUCAUUCACACUGGGAAGCAUAGAGUUGUGAUUUCAUUGCCAGUUUUAAACAGCAUGAUGUUUAUUUCUUAUCAUUGUGUUACCUGUCUGCUGGUAAAUCU